UGCGCCUUGCCAGCCCGCUCAGAAACUCAAAGGAAUUGACGGGGGCCCGCACAAGCGGAGGAGCAUGUGGUUUAAUUCGAUGAUACGCGAGGAACCUUACCUGGGCUCGAACGUAAGAUGACUGUAGGUGAAAGCUUACAUCUCUUCGGAGCAUUUUACGAGGUGCUGCAUGGUUGUCGUCAGCUCGUGCCGUGAGGUGUCGGGUUAAGUCCCAUAACGAGCGCAACCCCUACCUUUAGUUGCCAGCAGUUCGGCUGGGCACUCUAAAGGGACUGCCGGUGUUAAACCGGAGGAAGGUGGGGAUGACGUCAAGUCCUCAUGGCCUUUAUGACCAGGGCUACACACGUACUACAAUGGCCGAUACAAAGGGCAGCGACACUGCGAGGUGAAGCCAAUCCCGUAAAAUCGGUCUCAGUCCGGAUUGGAGUCUGCAACUCGACUCCAUGAAGUUGGAAUCGCUAGUAAUCGUGGAUCAGCAUGCCACGGUGAAUACGUUCCCGGGCCUU
rnacentral:rRNA from 1 species